CAUUUCAGUACCGUGAACAGACAUAGCUCAAUGUAUGUGGCAAGGGUGGAAAACGAACUGUCAGCCUAAAGGAACAGAACGUUCAACCCUUCCUCUGAAGAAUUCAAGAGUACUCCUAAGCAUCCGAAGAACCCAGAGUCUAUGAAAUGGGUAAACCAGAGAGGAACUGACCAAAGCUCGCAAAUAUUGGGUUGUGUCAUGUCUACACUGGAUGGAAAUGCCCUGCGCUUGUUUGGGAGCCAUAAAGAUACUGUAAAGGAGUGCAAUGUUAAAAAAGGUCACAAGACUUUUCUAGUUUUGCUGCAACACACUAAUUGGAUUGUCCUUUCGAAAGGUGGGCCUGUUGAAACGGGUAUAUAAUUAAAUACAGAGUAGCUGGAGUCCAGUAACAAUUUGCAACCAAAGUAGGUCUGUGGAAUCAGUGAGGAUUUGAUGAAUCAACACCUGUAAGUUCCAUUGGUUGAGUGGGCCUUCUCUAGUUGUGACUUGAUACUGCCUUUCAGUUUGUGUGUGUGUGUGUAUACGUGUGUGCGUGUACAUACAUACACCGACCAAUUGUAUCACAAGGGUGAAGUGAAUGCUGUUUGCCCUGAGGGCAGUCCAUGCAGGGGUGCGAAACAGGCCUGCAACAACUUGUGAUACAUAUACAGUAUUUAUAGCUCUGAAGGUAUAGUUAUAUUGGAUUUUGUUUCGCAAGCUUCUUUGUCGGAAGGUGUCUUUUGAAUAUGUUGAGCAUCAAGAAGUUCAGAGUUAAGAAAGGAAGGAGGACUAAGGCUUGCCCCAAAUCUUGCCAAUAGUGAGACUGGUGUUUAUGGCUGAUCUGUAGAUGCAAAAUGUCUGAUACAGUAUUUGCAAAAGGAAAUGUGUGAGGUAAUCUAGAACUCGUCUGUGGUGGUUGGUAGUAACGGGUUGCAAAACCUGUCUUGAAAUGAACACUGAAUGUUUAGGUAGACACUAAAUCGUCAACCAGAUUAUGAAAUGAACAGUUUAAUAAGGCAGAAUCGAGUUUGUUGCCAUGAUGUAACAUUUAAUGUUUAUGCUAGCAUAUGGCCUGUUGUGAAACUUUUUGCCUAAAAUACGCUUUAGGAAGCUGCAUAUGCCUUUGCCCGCUAGAGGCCACUCAUUCCACUUUAUUCCAGCCAAACCAUCUUUUCUGAUCCUCCUAAGUUAGCCUUUUUAAUUCUCUUUGCAGUUGGGAUGGCCACAAAUUCUGCGUUAAUUUAGAGACAGCUGGUCAGUGACAAAAUUGUCAAAGCUGGUUGAGGACGACCCUGUCUCUUUGAGAUUUGUGAUUCCUGUGACUGCACAUGGUAUAAGGUGCUCCUUGUUGCUAAAUUUGUAGUAAAUAUAGUUGAAAGAU
rnacentral:lncRNA from 1 species